UACAACCAUAUCACAUUGAAACAAUGGUUCUCAUCCGAUAACCAAAGUUAAGCAAUAUUCAGCCUGGUCAGUACUUAGAUGGGUGACCACUUGGGAAUGCGGGGUGCUGUGA